rnacentral:rRNA from 1 species
UCUGGUUGAUCCUGCCAGUAUUAUAUGCUGAUGUUAAAGAUUAAGCCAUGCAUGUGUAAGUAUAAAGACCAAGUAGGAUGAAACUGCGGACGGCUCAUUAUAACAGUAAUAGUUUCUUUGGUUAGUAAAGUACAAGGAUAGCUUUGUGAAUGAUAAAGAUAAUACUUGAGACGAUCCAAUUUGUAUUAGUACAAAGUGGCCAAUUUAUGUAAGUAAAUUGAGAAAUGACAUUCUAAGUGAGUUAGGAUGCCACGACAAUUGUAGAACACACAGUGUUUAACAAGUAACCAAUGAGAAUUUCUGAUCUAUCAAUCAGUUGGUAGUAUCGAGGACUACCAAGAUUAUAACGGAUAACGAGGAAUUGGGGUUCGACAUCGGAGAGGGAGCUUUACAGAUGGCUACCACUUCUAAGGAAGGCAGCAGGCGCGUAAAUUACCCACUUUCGAAUUGAAGAGGUAGUGACGACACAUAACUCUAGAGUUGAGUAAAAUCAAUUCUUGAAGGAAUGAGUAGGAGGUAAAUUCUCCUACGAAAUCAAUUGGAGGGCAAGUCUGGUGCCAGCAGCCGCGGUAAUUCCAGCUCCAAUAGUGUAUAUUAAAGUUGCUGUGAUUAAAACGCUCGUAGUUGAAUUAAAAUGUGAUUUUAUACAUUUUGAAGACUUUACAUUUAGUGAAGUUUCUAGAAAUGUUAAAUUAAAAUCAAAGAAGGAGACAAUUCAAGUAAUUGAGUUGUCAUUACUUUGAAUAAAAUAAGGUGUUUAAAGCAAAACAUUAUGUUAAUGAAUAUUCAAGCAUGGGACAAUGCUGAGGAGAUGUCAAUUAGACAUUUCGAGAGAAGGAUUAAAAGGAACAAUUGGGGUGAUUCAGAAAAUAACGGGAGAGGUGAAAAUCCAUGAUCGCUAUAAGAUGCACGAGAGCGAAAGCAUUUCACUCAACUGGGUCCAUUAAUCAAGAACGAAAGUUAGGGGAUCGAAGACGAUCAGAUACCGUCGUAGUCCUAACUAUAAACGAUGUCAACCAAGGAUUGGAUGAAAUUCAGAUGUACAAAGAUGAAGAAACAUUGUUUCUAAAUCCAAGUAUAUCAAUACUACCUUGUUCAGAACUUAAAGAGAAAUCUUGAGUUUAUGGACUUCAGGGGGAGUAUGGUCACAAGGCUGAAACUUAAAGGAAUUGACGGAAGGGCACACCAGGAGUGGAGCCUGCGGCUUAAUUUGACUCAACACGGGAAAACUUACCAAGACCGAACAGUAGAAGGAAUGACAGAUUAAGAGUUCUUUCAUGAUUUAUUGGGUAGUGGUGCAUGGCCGUUCUUAGUUGGUGGAGUGAUUUGUCAGGUUAAUUCCGGUAACGAACGAGACUGAAACCUAUUAAUUAGUUUUCUGCCUAUAAGACAGAAAUGUUCGCAAGAACAGGUGCGUAAGUACCACUUCUUAAAGGGACACAUUUCAAUUGUCCUAUUUUAAUUGUUAGUUAUCUAAUUUCGAUUAGAACUCUUUUAACGUGGGAAAAAGAAAAAGGAAGCAUUCAGCAAUAACAGGUCUGUGAUGCCCUUAG